GUUGCAUUAGGGGGUGCAAAGGGGGGGGUGCAUUGGGGGUUAUUAGGUGGUGUGCAAGGGGGGCUGCACUGGGGGUGCAUUGGGAAUUUUAUUAGGGGUGUCAGGGGGUUGCAAUAGGGGUGCAAGGGGAGUUGCAUUGUGGGGUGCAGGGGGGUACAGGGGGUGCAUCAGAGGUUGCAUUAGGGGACGUGGGGGGUUGUUAUGGGGUGCAGGGGGUGUGCAUUAGAAGUUGCAUGGGGGUGCAUUGGCAUGUGGGGGGGCAUUAUGGGGUGCGGGGGAUGCAGUAGAGGUUGCAUUGUGAGGUGGGGGGGGUGCACAGGAGUGCAAGGGGUGCAUUAGGGGGUGUGGGGGGGUGCAGGGAGGGUGCAUUACAGGUUGCAUUAGGGGGUGCAUUAGUGAGUGUGUGGGGUGCAGCAGAGGUUGCAUUGGGGGUGCGGGGGAGUGCAAGGGGAUGCAUUAUGGGGUGCAGGGGGUGCAGUAGAGGUUGCAUUAUCGGGUGCAGGGGGUUUCAGGGGAUGCUGCAGAGGUUGCAUUAUGGGGUGCAGGGGAGGCUGCAUUAUGGGGUGCAGGGGGGUGCAGCAGAGGUUGCAUUAUGGGGUGCAGGGGGUGCAUGAGAGGUUGCAUUAUAGGGUGCGGGGGGUGCAGUAGAGGUUGCAUUAUGGGGUGCAGGGGGGUGCAGGGGGUGCAGCAGAGGUUGCAUUAUGGGGUGUGGGGGGUGCAUUAGAAGGUGCAUUAUGGGGGGCGGGGGGUGCAUUAGAAGGUGCACUAUGGGGUGCGGGGGGUGCAGCAGAGGUUGCAUUAUGGGGUGCAUUAGAGGUUGCGUUAGGGGGUGCGGGGGGUGCAUUCCGGGGCGCGGGGGGUGCAGGGGGCGCAUCCCCCCCGCC